GGGGCAUUAGCGCAGCUGGGAGCGCAUCACACUGGCAGUGUGGGGGUCAGGGGUUCGAAUCCCCUAUGCUCCACCA
rnacentral:tRNA from 4 species